AUGAACGCUGGCGGCGUGCCUAAUACCUGCAAAUCGAGCGAACGGACGAGAAGCUUGCUUCUCUGAUGUUAGCGGCGGACGGGUGAGUAACACGUGGAUAACCUACCUAUAAGACUGGGAUAACUUCGGGAAACCGGAGCUAAUACCGGAUAAUAUUUUGAACCGCAUGGUUCAAAAGUGAAAGACGGUCUUGCUGUCACUUAUAGAUGGAUCCGCGCUGCAUUAGCUAGUUGGUAAGGUAACGGCUUACCAAGGCAACGAUGCAUAGCCGACCUGAGAGGGUGAUCGGCCACACUGGAACUGAGACACGGUCCAGACUCCUACGGGAGGCAGCAGUAGGGAAUCUUCCGCAAUGGGCGAAAGCCUGACGGAGCAACGCCGCGUGAGUGAUGAAGGUCUUCGGAUCGUAAAACUCUGUUAUUAGGGAAGAACAUAUGUGUAAGUAACUGUGCACAUCUUGACGGUACCUAAUCAGAAAGCCACGGCUAACUACGUG
rnacentral:rRNA from 1 species